UGUGUGUGUGUGUCUAGCUGUGUGUGUGUGUGUGUGUGUGUGUGUGUGUGUGUGUGUGUGUGUGUGUGUGUGUGUGUGUGUGUGUGUGUGUGUCUAGCUGUGUGUGUGUCUAGCUGUGUGUGUGUGUGUGUCUAGCUGCGUGUGUGUGUGUGUCUAGCUGUGUGUGUGUGUCUAGCUGUGUCUGUGUGUGUGUGUGUGUGUCUAGCUGUGUGUGUGUGUGUGUGUGUCUAGCUGUGUGUGUGUGUCUAGCUGUGUGUGUGUGUCUAGCUGUGUGUGUGUGUCUAGCUGUGUGUGUGUGUCUAGCUGUGUGUGUGUGUCUAGCUGUGUGUGUGUGUGUGUCUAGCUGCGUGUGUGUGUCUAGCUGUGUGUGUGUGUGUCUAGCUGCGUGUGUGUGUG
ensembl:lncRNA